GACGAACGCUGGCGGCGUGCUUAACACAUGCAAGUCGAACGGAAAGGCCCUGCUUGCAGGGUACUCGAGUGGCGAACGGGUGAGUAACACGUGGGUGAUCUGCCCUGCACUUCGGGAUAAGCCUGGGAAACUGGGUCUAAUACCGGAUAGGAGCCAUUUUUAGUGUGAUGGUUGGAAAGUUUUUUCGGUGUAGGAUGAGCUCGCGGCCUAUCAGCUUGUUGGUGGGGUAAUGGCCUACCAAGGCGGCGACGGGUAGCCGGCCUGAGAGGGUGGACGGCCACACUGGGACUGAGAGACGGCAGAGACACCGACGGGAGGCAGAAGGGGGGAAGACUGCACGAUGGGCGCCGGCCUGAUGCAGAGGCGCCGCGUGGGGGAUAACGGUCUUCGGGUUGUAGACUAAAUGCGCUAGGGACGAAGCUUGUUGUGACGGUACCUAGAUAAGAAGCACCGGCUAACUACGUG
rnacentral:rRNA from 1 species